UACGGGGGGGGGCAAGCGUUGUUCGGAAUUACUGGGCGUAAAGGGCUCGUAGGUGGCCAACUAAGUCAUACGUGAAAUCCCUCGGCUUAACCGGGGAACUGCGUCUGAUACUGGAUGGCUUGAGUUCGGGAGAGGGAUGCGGAAUUCCAGGUGUAGCGGUGAAAUGCGUAGAUAUCUGGAGGAACACCGGUGGCGAAGGCGGCAUCCUGGACCGACACUGACGCUGAGGAGCGAAAGCCAGGGGGAGCAAAACGGG
rnacentral:rRNA from 1 species